rnacentral:rRNA from 1 species
GAUGAACGCUGGCGGCGUGCCUAAUACAUGCAAGUCGAGCGAACGGACGAGAAGCUUGCUUCUCUGAUGUUAGCGGCGGACGGGUGAGUAACACGUGGAUAACCUACCUAUAAGACUGGGAUAACUUCGGGAAACCGGAGCUAAUACCGGAUAAUAUUUUGAACCGCAUGGUUCAAAAGUGAAAGACGGUCUUGCUGUCACUUAUAGAUGGAUCCGCGCUGCAUUAGCUAGUUGGUAAGGUAACGGCUUACCAAGGCAACGAUGCAUAGCCGACCUGAGAGGGUGAUCGGCCACACUGGAACUGAGACACGGUCCAGACUCCUACGGGAGGCAGCAGUAGGGAAUCUUCCGCAAUGGGCGAAAGCCUGACGGAGCAACGCCGCGUGAGUGAUGAGGGUCUUCGGAUCGUAAAACUCUGUUAUUAGGGAAGAACAUAUGUGUAAGUAACUGUGCACAUCUUGACGGUACCUAAUCAGAAAGCCACGGCUAACUACGUGCCAGCAGCCGCGGUAAUACGUAGGUGGCAAGCGUUAUCCGGAAUUAUUGGGCGUAAAGCGCGCGUAGGCGGUUUUUUAAGUCUGAUGUGAAAGCCCACGGCUCAACCGUGGAGGGUCAUUGGAAACUGGAAAACUUGAGUGCAGAAGAGGAAAGUGGAAUUCCAUGUGUAGCGGUGAAAUGCGCAGAGAUAUGGAGGAACACCAGUGGCGAAGGCGACUUUCUGGUCUGUAACUGACGCUGAUGUGCGAAAGCGUGGGGAUCAAACAGGAUUAGAUACCCUGGUAGUCCACGCCGUAAACGAUGAGUGCUAAGUGUUAGGGGGUUUCCGCCCCUUAGUGCUGCAGCUAGCGCAUUAAGCACUCCGCCUGGGGAGUACGACCGCAAGGUUGAAACUCAAAGGAAUUGACGGGGACCCGCACAAGCGGUGGAGCAUGUGGUUUAAUUCGAAGCAACGCGAAGAACCUUACCAAAUCUUGACAUCCUUUGACAACUCUAGAGAUAGAGCUUUCCCCUUCGGGGGACAAAGUGACAGGUGGUGCAUGGUUGUCGUCAGCUCGUGUCGUGAGAUGUUGGGUUAAGUCCCGCAACGAGCGCAACCCUUAAGCUUAGUUGCCAUCAUUAAGUUGGGCACUCUAAGUUGACUGCCGGUGACAAACCGGAGGAAGGUGGGGAUGACGUCAAAUCAUCAUGCCCCUUAUGAUUUGGGCUACACACGUGCUACAAUGGACAAUACAAAGGGCAGCGAAACCGUGAGGUCAAGCAAAUCUCAUAAAGUUGUUCUCAGUUCGGAUUGUAGUCUGCAACUCGACUACAUGAAGCUGGAAUCGCUAGUAAUCGUAGAUCAGCAUGCUACGGUGAAUACGUUCCCGGGUCU